rnacentral:rRNA from 1 species
UACGUAGGGGGCUAGCGUUGUCCGGAAUCAUUGGGCGUAAAGCGCGUGUAGGCGGUCCGGUAAGUCCGCUGUGAAAGUCGGGGGCUCAACCCUCGAAUGCCGGUGGAUACUGUCGGGCUAGAGUGCGGAAGAGGCGAGUGGAAUUCCUGGUGUAGCGGUGAAAUGCGCAGAUAUCAGGAGGAACACCAAUUGCGAAGGCAGCUCGCUGGGACGUAACUGACGCUGAGACGCGAAAGCGUGGGAGCAAACAGG